rnacentral:rRNA from 1 species
AGAUUGAACGCUGGCGGCAUGCCUUACACAUGCAAGUCGAACGGCAGCACGGGAGCAAUCCUGGUGGCGAGUGGCGAACGGGUGAGUAAUACAUCGGAACGUGCCCAGUAGUGGGGGAUAACCCGGCGAAAGCCGGACUAAUACCGCAUACGACCUACGGGUGAAAGCAGGGGAUCGCAAGACCUUGCGCUAUUGGAGCGGCCGAUGUCAGAUUAGCUUGUUGGCGGGGUAAAAGCCCACCAAGGCGACGAUCUGUAGCUGGUCUGAGAGGACGACCAGCCACACUGGGACUGAGACACGGCCCAGACUCCUACGGGAGGCAGCAGUGAGGAAUUUUCCGCAAUGGAGGCAACUCUGACGGAGCAACGCCGCGUGCAGGAGGAAGGUUUUCGGAUCGUAAACUGCUUUUCUCGGGGACGAGCAAGGACGGUACCCGAGGAAGAAGCCCCGGCUAACUACGUGCCAGCAGCCGC